AGCUACAAGUGGUGUCGGACACAUUGACACCGUAAGUUUGUCAACGAGAAAAGAAUCAUAAAUUUUUCUAUCUGGAAAAGAUGUAGAAGUAUACAGGUUCCCGAGUAUUACAAUUUCCUUGAUGCGAGUAAUCAAGGAAAUUCUUUCGCAAGAAAAGAGAUAUUAAUUAUUAAGUAAAUCCUUUCGAUUAAUCUAAAUUAAAAUUUUUAUGGAAUACGCUAUCGAAUACGGCAAGAAGUAAUCAACGUUGGUUAAUAAAUGCCUGGAGUUUGUCCUCGUUGUAACCGCGAGGUUUACUUCGCAGAAGAGAAAUUGGCUCUUGGAAAAGUUUGGCAUACAUUUUGCUUUUCUUGUUGUAAUUGUCGAAAAUUACUCAACAGUUGUAACGUGGUAACGUAUCUCGGUGAAUUAUUUUGCAAGAAUUGUUACGUUCGUUUGGCUCCGUCGAUUACAAAUCAUGAAAUUAAAGGAACAUCGCAAUUGCUUGGAACCUUAACAUUUUCGAACCAGGAAUCGAAUGGUUAUUGCUGUCCGGUAGAAAACUCAAUCGGUAACGCAUCAUUAAACAGAGAACAACAUUACCAAUCCGGCAAGUGUAGACUUCGCGGUGGUGGUAGCGAAGUCGAGGAGACAAACGUUUGUCUUGACGAAGAGAAAAAACAUUUCUUAGAAAACGAGUGCGCAAAUGUAGGUAUUGUCAAUUCGAUGACAACAAUUUGUGAUCCUCCACCUAGUCCUACUGCAGUGACUACAUGGUACAAUCGGCAGCAUUGCAAGCUUCGCAGUACGCUGUCUUUGGAGUCCCAGAAGAAUAACGCUCUAGCGAAAGAUUACCGCGAACGAUCCGAAGUGCAGGAAGCAGAAAGCAAUCAAUCAGAGCUGAAAACUGCGUUUAGUAAUGAUGAAGUCAACAUUACAGAAGCUCUGCUAAGCGCAGACAAAACUCGAGUGACAUCUAUCAGCCGGAAUAAAAAAAUUAACAAAUACGAUCCUGUAUGCGAAUUUAGUGGGAAUAGCAUCACUAUUCCGUCGAGACGAAAAUUUGCGUAUCCGCCAGUACCGCCGCCUCGCAGUCCGCUGCCUUCCCGACGACGAGUCUCCUUCUGCGACGUCGUCUUCGGGGACACCCGCGGAAACGAACAGAAUUGUAUCAUGAAAAUGCAGAAUGCACAUCUAAGGCCCUGUUGCAAUAAUAACGAGGAAUACACUUAUGACAUUUGGCAAGCGGACGACACGGCCGGUAAGAACCACGGCGGAUACGAAAAUGUCAAAAUAAAUCAUACCGAAGACACUGGCAGAAUGCAUUUUGAAAAAAGCACGUCGGAUUGUUGCGACGGCGAAGAAGAUUCAUCGAGUAAAUGCAAUGAGCUCGAGAAGAACCGAGGACAAGAUCGUUGCGCCGGUAAUACAGAGUUGCACCCGUACAGAACAAUGAACGAUAAAGAUGGAUCAUCGAAGGAAGAAACGAUUACGUGUACUCAUCAAAGUGGCCCGAAUUCAUCGAAUGAUCUUGACGAUAGCGAACGUAUGCGAGGAGGAUGUGGUGGACCAUGCGGCCCUCGUCCAAGGAUUCUAUGCGGAACGCUUAAACCCGUUGAAACUAUUUGCCAUUGUACUAAAAGAGAACCGGAACCAUGUCGCACUGUUGUUACAUCUUGUGCUUGCUCGUCACCGUGUAUCGACAGACGUGGUUGCUGUCCAUCGGUGACCGAUCGACCGAUAUGCAAGAAACCGAUUAUCAGAUGUCGUCAACCAUGCACGGUAGAAUCUCCAGGUUGCGGCAGCGGAGGAUGUUGUGGAAGUGGUUGCCGAGGUGGUUGUGGAAAACCUGGACAAACGUGUUUGCCCUCUAGACAAUGCGCGAUACCACCAUGUCGACCUUGUUCGCCUUGUUCCUCACCUCGACCGUGUCCUCCGCAACCGAUUUGCUGUUGCCGAAAAUGUGGAAAUUGCUGUGGAAGCGGUGGUGGCACGAGUUGCUGUCGGCCGAAAAGUCCUGUAUGUCGAGUGAGAAGUAGAAGAUGUUACAGUUCUGAAAGAGCAGAAUGUGCCGACGGAGGAUGUUGCCGGCCGAAAUCUGGUUGCGAGUGUUUAGGCGGCGGUCUUGAUUGCCAGCGCUGUGGCCGGAAAGUGUAUCAGGCUGAAAUGCAGGAUUUGCAAAUAAAAUGGACAGAAAGCAGGACAAGACGAUUGGUUGUAUUUCUUUGUUGAAAAUAAAAAUCAUGCGAGGAGGAUUGUACACUUUGCGAAAUGGAAGGAAAGGAAAUAAGACGAGACGGGCCCAGGUAGUUUUAUUGGUAAAAAUAAAGAUAGGAAACAAAAUGGAAAAACAGAGUUGAAUCCUAUGAAAUACAGAGAAUGAAAGGAGAGCGAGACGAAGGAAGAAAGAAGAAAUCAGAGCAUGUUUUACCUGGCUAUAAGCAACUGUGUGUAAUAUUUAUGAACAUGAACGUGCAAUGUGUAUCUGGAGUGAGUGGGUGGCUGAAUCUUACACUAGUAAAUUUGUUUAUUUAAAAAAUGAAGCAACUGAGGGUCUAAGGAAAAGCUAAAAGAAGGUGCUGAUCGAAGAAGUGCAUGGAAUUAAAACGAACGGCGGCCAGAAUCUCCGGAUGUAAAGAAAAAUUCGCCUAAGGCGAGAGCGUCGAAAUUUUACUCUAUGUACGAUGCAGUUACCGUGGAUGCAGCUCGGGGGUCAGGAAAUCGAGAAAAUAUCUCCUCGGUUCGGCUGGUUCGCUCAGUCUUUUGCGCGCGUCGCUUACUCCGAACGACUGCGGAGGGUAGCAGUGAUAUUAUCCUGCGUGUCUAAUUGCUGGACAUGUGGACGAGACCGUGGAGAAUCCCCCGCCACGCGUUACAAAUGGAUCGCAGUUGAUCCAGUAUUCUGACUUGGAAAGGGUUCGAAACCAUACUCCUGACCGCGAAAAAAUGGGGUAAAAGCUGCUCGCACCCAGUCGAGCUCAUUGUCGGUGACCUGACUUUACCGCCAUUAUUAGCUGGCUUAUCCAACGUCCGGCGUCCCGCAAAUGUACCGGACUAACCGACUCCUGUUACAAAUGGCUCGGAUACUAUUGGAAAUGUACCAUGGAACGUGUUAAUACACCACUGUUGUGAGAGAAAGCGUAGGAAGGCAGGAGAAAGGGAAGGUGGUGGCGUCUGCUCGAAGAAGAGGCGACGAGAAGAGGGUCGUCGGUGUACGGUCGAGAGGAUCAAUUUCUAUCCGAGACUCGAGGAAACGUGUUAAUGGAGCGGGAAACAGAAGUGCA